rnacentral:rRNA from 1 species
ACUGAAUAGAUACCCGGGUAGUCCACGCCGUAAACGAUGAGUGCUAAGUGUUAGAGGGUUUCCGCCCUUUAGUGCUGCAGCAAAAACGCAUUAAGCACUCCGCCUGGGGAGUACGACCGCAAGGUUGAAACUCAAAGGAAUUGACGGGGGCCCGCACAAGCGGUGGAGCAUGUGGUUUAAUUCGAAGCAACGCGAAGAACCUUACCAGGUCUUGACAUCCUCUUGCCCUCCCUAGAGAUAGGGAUUUCCCUUCGGGGACAAGAGUGACAGGUGGUGCAUGGUUGUCGUCAGCUCGUGUCGUGAGAUGUUGGGUUAAGUCCCGCAACGAGCGCAACCCUUGAUCUUAGUUGCCAGCAUUUAGUUGGGCACUCUAAGGUGACUGCCGGUGACAAACCGGAGGAAGGUGGGGAUGACGUCAAAUCAUCAUGCCCCUUAUGACCUGGGCUACACACGUGCUACAACGGAUGGUACAAAGGGCUGCAAGACCGCGAGGUUAAGCCAAUCCCAUAAAACCAUUCUCAGUUCGGAUUGUAGG